GUCCCCAUCGUCGAGAGGCCUAGGACACCGCCCUUUCACGUCGGUAACAGGGGUUCGAAUCCGCUUGGGGACGCCA
rnacentral:tRNA from 1 species